GUGGAUCUAGCCCAACUGGUAGAGGCACAUGGUCGAGGGCCAUGACAGUCAGGGUUCGAAUCCCUGGAUCCGCA
rnacentral:tRNA from 1 species